rnacentral:rRNA from 1 species
CAGCUUGCUGCUUUGCUGACGAGUGGCGGACGGGUGAGUAAUGUCUGGGAAACUGCCUGAUGGAGGGGGAUAACUACUGGAAACGGUAGCUAAUACCGCAUAACGUCGCAAGACCAAAGAGGGGGACCUUCGGGCCUCUUGCCAUCGGAUGUGCCCAGAUGGGAUUAGCUAGUAGGUGGGGUAAUGGCUCACCUAGGCGACGAUCCCUAGCUGGUCUGAGAGGAUGACCAGCCACACUGGAACUGAGACACGGUCCAGACUCCUACGGGAGGCAGCAGUGGGGAAUAUUGCACAAUGGGCGCAAGCCUGAUGCAGCCAUGCCGCGUGUAUGAAGAAGGCCUUCGGGUUGUAAAGUACUUUCAGCGAGGAGGAAGGUGUUGUGGUUAAUAACCACAGCAAUUGACGUUACUCGCAGAAGAAGCACCGGCUAACUCCGUGCCAGCAGCCGCGGUAAUACGGAGGGUGCAAGCGUUAAUCGGAAUUACUGGGCGUAAAGCGCACGCAGGCGGUUUGUUAAGUCAGAUGUG